rnacentral:rRNA from 1 species
UACGGGGGGAGCAAGCGUUGUUCGGAUUUACUGGGCGUAAAGGGCGCGUAGGCGGUCGUGACAAGUCACUUGUGAAAUCUCCGGGCUUAACUCGGAACGGUCAAGUGAUACUGUCGGACUAGAGUACAGAAGGGGCAACUGGAAUUCUCGGUGUAGCGGUGAAAUGCGUAGAUAUCAGGAAGAACACCCGUGGCUAAGGCGGCUCUCUAGUACGGUACUGACGCUGAGACGCGAAAGCGUGGGGAGCGAACAGG